rnacentral:rRNA from 1 species
GAUGAACGCUGACCGAAUGCUUAACACAUGCCAGUCUUUGGCGAAGCUGUGCUUGCACAGCCUAGCCAAGGCGGACGGGUGAGUAACGCGUAAGGAACUUGCCCUGCAGUCAGGGAUAACAGACGGAAACGACUGAUAAGACCUGGUAAAGUCAGGCGGACUCAUGUCCAGCCUGAUGAAAAGAGAUGCUGCAGGAGAGCCUUGCGUCCUAUUAGCUUGUUGGUGGGGUAACGGCCCACCAAGGCGAUGAUAGGUAGCCGGCCUGAGAGGGUGGACGGCCACAAGGGGACUGAGAUACGGCCCUUACUCCUACGGGAGGCAGCAGUGGGGAAUAUUGGACAAUGGGGGCAACCCUGAUCCAGCAAUUCUGUGUGCACGAUGAAGGUUUUCGGAUUGUAAAGUGCUUUCAGCAGGGAAGAAAAAAAUGACGGUACCUGCAGAAGAAGCGACGGCUAAAUACGUG